rnacentral:rRNA from 1 species
GACGAACGCUGGCGGCGUGCUUAACACAUGCAAGUCGAACGGAAAGGCCCUGCUUUUGUGGGGUGCUCGAGUGGCGAACGGGUGAGUAACACGUGAGUAACCUGCCCUUGACUUUGGGAUAACUUCAGGAAACUGGGGCUAAUACCGGAUAGGAGCUCCUGCUGCAUGGUGGGGGUUGGAAAGUUUCGGCGGUUGGGGAUGGACUCGCGGCUUAUCAGCUUGUUGGUGGGGUAGUGGCUUACCAAGGCUUUGACGGGUAGCCGGCCUGAGAGGGUGACCGGGCACAAUGGGAACGGGGUAACGCCCCGACCCCUAACGGGGGGAAGAGUGGGGAAUUUUGGAACAAGGGCCGAAGGCCUAAGCAGGAACCCCGGGUGGGGGGAGAAGGCCCUUCGGUUGGAAAACGGCUUCCGCUGGGAACGAGGCGGGGGGACGGUAAUGGGUAAAGGAGGAACGGCCAAAUUCGGG